rnacentral:rRNA from 1 species
UACGUAGGGUGCAAGCGUUAUCCGGAAUUAUUGAGCGUAAAGAGCUCGUAGGCGGUUUGUCGCGUCUGCUGUGAAAACUGGGGGCUCAACCCCCAGCCUGCAGUGGGUACGGGCAGACUAGAGUGCGGUAGGGGAGAUUGGAAUUCCUGGUGUAGCGGUGGAAUGCGCAGAUAUCAGGAGGAACACCGAUGGCGAAGGCAGAUCUCUGGGCCGUAACUGACGCUGAGGAGCGAAAGCAUGGGGAGCGAACAG